GACGAACGCUGGCGGCGUGCUUAACACAUGCAAGUCGAACGAGAAGAGAUGAGAAGCUUGCUUCUUAUCAAUUCGAGUGGCAAACGGGUGAGUAACGCGUAAGCAACCUGCCCUUCAGAUGGGGACAACAGCUGGAAACGGCUGCUAAUACCGAAUACGUUCUUUUGUCGCAUGGCAGAGAGAAGAAAGGGAGGCUCUUCGGAGCUUUCGCUGAAGGAGGGGCUUGCGUCUGAUUAGCUAGUUGGAGGGGUAACGGCCCACCAAGGCGACGAUCAGUAGGGGUUCUGAGAGGAAGGUCCCCCACAUUGGAACUGAGACACGGUCCAA
rnacentral:rRNA from 1 species